UCCUUGGUAGUCCAGUGGUUAGGAUUCUGCACUUCCACUGUAGGGGGCAGGGAUUCGAUCCCUGAUCAGGGAA
rnacentral:tRNA from 1 species